UACGAAGGGGGCUAGCGUUGCUCGGAAUUACUGGGCGUAAAGGGCGCGUAGGCGGCGCUGUUAGUCAGGCGUGAAAGUCCUGGGCUCAACCUGGGAACUGCGCUUGAUACGGCAGAGCUAGAGGAUGGAAGAGGCUCGCGGAAUUCCCAGUGUAGAGGUGAAAUUCGUAGAUAUUGGGAAGAACACCGGUGGCGAAGGCGGCGAGCUGGUCCAUUACUGACGCUGAGGCGCGACAGCGUGGGGAGCAAACAGG
rnacentral:rRNA from 1 species